ACUCAAAUGAAUUGACGGGGGCUCACACAAGCGGUGGAGCAUGUGGCUCAAUUCGAGGCUACGCGAAGAACCUUAUCCUGGGCUUGACAUGUGCGAAAGCGUUGGGAAGUAGCUGCCGGAAACGGUAAGCCAACGGUAUCCAGUCCGGAACCCAAUACAGGUGCUGCAUGGCUGUCGUCAGCUCGUGUCGUGAGAUGUUGGGUUAAGUCCCCUAACGAGCGAAACCCUUGUCUCCAGUUGCCAGCGGGUAAAGCCGGGGACUCUGGAGAGACUGCCGGUGUAAACCGGAGGAAGGCGGGGAUGACGUCAAGUCCUCAUGGCCUUUAUGCCCAGGGCUGCACACGUGCUACAAUGGCGUGAACAAAGGGACGCAAACCCGCGAGGGGGAGCCAAUCUCAAAAAACACGCCCCAGUUCAGAUUGAAGGCUGCAACUCGCCUUCAUGAAGUUGGAAUCGCUAGUAAUCGCAGGUCAGCAACACUGCGGUGAAUGUGUUCCUGAGCCUUGCACACACCGCCCGU
rnacentral:rRNA from 1 species